CUAUCCAAUUUGCUGUGUACCCAAUGAUUUGUUAAUACAUCAUUUUAAAGUUAGACAUGCUAAUUUAAAAUGAUUUGUUAAUGAAUCAUUGGAUAGACCGCAAAUUGG
rnacentral:miRNA from 1 species